rnacentral:rRNA from 1 species
UACGUAGGGUGCGAGCGUUGUCCGGAAUUAUUGGGCGUAAAGGGCUCGUAGGCGGUCUGUCACGUCGGGAGUGAAAACUCAGGGCUUAACCCUGAGCCUGCUUCCGAUACGGGCAGACUAGAGGUAUGCAGGGGAGAACGGAAUUCCUGGUGUAGCGGUGAAAUGCGCAGAUAUCAGGAGGAACACCGGUGGCGAAGGCGGUUCUCUGGGCAUUACCUGACGCUGAGGAGCGAAAGUGUGGAGAGCGAACAGG